rnacentral:rRNA from 1 species
AAUGAACGCUGGUGGCAUGCCUAACACAUGCAAGUCGAACGAGACCUUCGGGUCUAGUGGCGCACGGGUGCGUAACGCGUGGGAAUCUGCCCUUGGGUUCGGAAUAACAGCUAGAAAUGGCUGCUAAUACCGGAUGAUGACGUAAGUCCAAAGAUUUAUCGCCCAGGGAUGAGCCCGCGUAGGAUUAGCUAGUUGGUGGG